rnacentral:rRNA from 1 species
GAUGAACGCUGACAGAAUGCUUAACACAUGCAAGUCAACUUGAAUUUGGGUUUUUAUCUUCGGUUUGGGUGGCGGACGGGUGAGUAACGCGUAAAGAACUUGCCUCACAGCUAGGGACAACAUUUGGAAACGAAUGCUAAUACCUAAUAUUAUGAUAAUAGGGCAUCCUAUAAUUAUGAAAGCUAUAAGCGCUGUGAGAGAGCUUUGCGUCCCAUUAGCUAGUUGGAGAGGUAACGGCUCACCAAGGCGAUGAUGGGUAGCCGGCCUGAGAGGGUGAUCGGCCAAAAGGGGACUGAGACACGGCCCUAACUACUACGGGAGGCAGCAGUGGGGAAUAAUGGACAAUGGACCGAGAGUCUGAUACAGCAAUUCUGUGUGAACGAUGAAGUUUUUCGGAAUGUAAAGGGCUUUCAGUUGGGAAGAAACAAAUGACGGUACCAACAGAAGAAGUGACGGCUAAAUACGUG